UACAGAGGGUGCAAGCGUUAAUCGGAGUUACUGGGCGUAAAGGGCGCGUAGGCGGUGAAUUGGGUGCGGUGUGAAAGCCCCGGGCUUAACCUGGGAAGUGCAUCGCAAACUAAUUGACUGGAGUAGAUGAGAGGGUGGCGGAAUUUCCGGUGUAGCGGUGAAAUGCGUAGAGAUCGGAAGGAACGUCAAUGGCGAAGGCAGCCACCUGGCAUCAUACUGACGCUGAGGCGCGAGAGCGUGGGGAGCGAACAGG
rnacentral:rRNA from 1 species